UUGUGCCUGCUAUUAUAUGUCACAAGCUUUCAGAUUGGAACCUAACGAACUGAUUCUUUCUUCUUUACUAAAGUGUCUGUGAUAACGGAAUGGUCUCUCUCCUGGGAAAUGUUUAAUGAACUAGCAAUAUGACGCCGAGUCAUGCGCCCGUCGGCCAUCAACAUACCGUGGAUUCUCUGGAUCAUUCCUGGUGAUGAUGUGACAGCCCUUCAAGGACGGGGCUCGUCUUCAAGCUCCUCUCUGUCACCCUGCUGCCCAACUUGUUUUGGUGGCAUAGAAAGUGACAUCCUUCCCUAGAAUCUUCAUGGAUGGCGUUUGGUGUAAAGCCCCUUUUCUGCAACGUUUUCCACAGCAAUUGUGAAAACAAACCACCAACUAUUUCAGUCCCUUGCCCAGCCAUGUUUGUUCUAUGUUUUAUGCAUGUAACUAGUCGUGGAACUCAACACGUAUUUACGAUGUUGUAAAGCUUAACCUUGAACUGUCCGUUGCACUCGGACCAAAGUCGUUAUUGUUCAAGUAAACUGUAUCAUAAUGACAAUUACGAUUGCUUACCAAUGAGCGCGGCGUUCGUGACGUGCCAGCCAGAUAUAUGUACUGUACAAAGGGUACUCCAAUCACCCCGUGAACAAGGCUCUCAUUACAACCUCGUUUCUUGAUAAUCAUAUCAACUUGUCAUGCAUUGACAACUGUAGCGUCUACAAUCUCGUCAGACAUGUUCUACGGUGUGAUUGUCAUUUUUCUAUACGUACAGAAUUUGGAUGGCAUUCCAUGGCCUCUAGAGACUGCGACCGGGUGUUAUGGAAAUACUCAAGAUGACUUCCUCAUACCAUCAUGCAAUACUUCAUACGUUAUGGCCGUCAGUGGAGUGUUUGCAAUGGCAAAGGAACGGAACACACAUUGUCCCGAAAUAGCGCUGCCCGAUGACAGAGAUGAGGAGAAAUGCUGUCGAGUAGCGCCAGAGGAUUGUAAAAUGAUUUACACAGCCUCAGAUAUGACGUUUCAUUCAGAAUGCAUUGGAUUGGAGACUUGCAAGAAAAAAGUAGCUUGGGCUGUCACCACAUGCAAUACUACUAUCUUUCUUGACAAAUCAAAUUAUAUGAUGAUGGAAUUCUACUGCAUUGCAAGGUCUUUGAUCCUCAAUGUGAGCGACACAGAAGCAGGUACAACGAAAGGAUCCGCUGUGUAUGUACAAAACCAAGGCUAUCCUAGUUCGUCAGAAAUAGGAGGAUCCUGCAGCGUCUCCUCCUCCUGCAAUGCCACCAUAGUGGUAACUGCCAUACACCUCAGUCUUAACGUUAGCAGCAGCUGUUCACAACAUCUGGAUAUCACAGAUGGAAGCGUGAAUCAGAUAAUAAACUGUUCACAGAACAACGGUGCCGAUUUUGCUUUUAAAGAUCUGUACACAAGCACCAGCCAUUUCCUUUUUUUUGAGUUUACUACCCUCGUGCCUGGCGACAAGGGGAAGCUGUGGAUAGAGGUUAGAGGUUCAAAUCCAUAUUCGAUCAUGGACCUGCGAUGUGGGUCGUCUGCAGUUUCUACACCUCCGCCUGUAGACGAAUGCCCUGUUUACACAACUAGAACGCUGUCAACGACAUCAAAACCAGCGUCAACAACUACAGCAUUAUCUCAUAUGUUGUCAACGUCGGAAAGGACAUUUUCCAGCAUCCCCGGAAAGCCUAUGCAAAACUGGCAGAUAGGAUUACUCGUCACAGGAGUACUUGCAUUGAUAGGUUUCGUGGCACUACUUACUUGUUUUUUCCUGAAGAAAAAGAGUGCGAACAAGGUAGACCUAGCUACCGCGACAGAUCGGAAGGACAGUGAUGGACUGCCUACUUACCUCUAUGGCCCAGAGCCGGAGAUAACUACACAGACUGCACCAGUGCAAGGACUGCUGAUAUCGAUAUACUCGCAAUGGUCGCCCAGACAAACAGAAAAUAUGCGCGCUUCUUCAAAUGAUCGUGUUCCAAAGGAUCUUUGGAGGUUCGACGAUCCCAGAAUACAGAAUAAACCGAGUGGUGGUCGGACAACACUUCCUGCAGUUCGAGUAGCUGGACAACCAACAGCUCCUGUACUACACAGUGUGCUGCCAUCAUCAAGGGCAGCAUCGCUAAAUGGUCAUGUUGUUAACGACACCGUUGCGGGAGAUGUGGAACAGGGUGAACAUAUGCAGCCAGAAAGGAAGAGUAAAAAAAAGAAGCGGAAGAGAGACAAAAUUAAUGAAGAUGACUGCAGUGCUACAGAAGGUGAAACUAGGAAAAAGAAGAAAAAAAAGAAGAAAAAGAGCGCAACCGAUCAUGUUGCAGAUGAAGAAUUGUGAAAUUGUUUUAUUUUGUCAACAGAAGAAGCCAAUGAUUUUGUGGUUGUGUUAUGACUUUAACGACAGUUCCACAGUCCCUUUGACACUAACGGGCAUUAAAUGGUAUUGCUCUUAAUUCGUACAAGUGAAGCAAAAUAUGUCGUUUAAACCGUGUAUAACUAUUGCAUUUUCAUCAAAAGAAUGUUAAACACAACAUCCCGGACAACCUUUUUCAGUUAUUUGCCUGGAAAUGCAAUUUACGCUGGUACUAUAAUUUAAAUUACAUUUUAAUUCAAAACUUAAAUUCGAAACACAUCUGAGUAAAUGCAGUGAAAAGGAUUUUUAAAACAUAUUUUAUUCAUAAAAGUGUGACAAUGAGAAGAGUUGCUCGAGUUUUGAUAAUGUUGUUGCAUACAAGCACAUAUACAUCGCAUGCAAAAUCAAUUUGUGGUCGAAUAAAUAUUGUACAUGUCAUGAUCAGUAUUUAUCUUUUUAUAAUAUUAUUAUACAUUUCGUCACAGAACAAACCAGUCUGCAGUAUACCCAAUACACCAGUCUAUGUGGGAAGGCCACUUGAUGUCUGAAAUAAUUCUAAUAUGUGUUGGAAUUUAAACAAUAGAUAUAUUUUGAUAAUUAUUCAAAAGCCUUUAUAUAUAUAUUCUAUUUUUGUGUGAGAGUUUUACGGGAGUUGAAACAAAUGAGCUAGGUUUUCUCCCAUUUAUUCAACUUCGAUACAUUGGAAUUAAUCUUUUCAAGUGAGAUAUGAUUUAUUUUCAGUUUCAAAGACCAGAGCCUGUAUACAACACAUCAGUACAUAAACAUUUUACUAACAUAUAACAUAGAACACAUGAUAUUAUUAUUGAUGAAGGGACUUAUGAAGCUUCCUUGUUUUCAAUAUGUAUUUUGAUAGCUGUACAGUUGUAAAGUUACAAUUAGAAAACAUAAGAUUUACAAAAACGUCAAUUGAAAGUUUUAUGGAAUAAUUAGAAUCAAUGUAGAUUAGUCUUUUGCCAGUAAAGAAUUGAUAUUCGUUUUUAAUCGUUCUAACGAUAUCGACAUACAAUAUUUACAUAAUCUGUAUUUUUGGUCGAGGCCUAUGUGGAACAACUAUGGAUAACUUGUGACUCAUCCUAUCAGGACCCGACGCUUUAUUUACGCAUGACAUUUUUAUGGUAGUAUUUAUUAUAAUACACUCUAGAGACUGACAUGUAGUCAUAACCCAAUGUGUGCUGAACGAUACAACUAUAUGGUCAUAUCUGGUGUCAUGCACAUUAAUAAGCGCAAUGCCCAAUGUGGCAUAAAUAGUUGGCAAAUAAAUCUAUGCGAUAUGCAAAUCAUGUAAUCGAUAUGUGAAUGUAAACAUCAGUUCCUUUGAAUCCAGCCUUACGUCAUACGUUCACAUGGUUGAAUGCAUUCUGAUAUCCUUUCAACUAACUAUCUUGCAUGCUAAUUGACGAGACCAAAGUUCUCUACCAACUUGCGGAGUUGCCCCAGUAUAUAUACCUCAUUUGUUGGCUGUGUCAAGCAUAUCUAUACAACUAUCAAUACAGCGUAUUAUGAUCACAUGGUAUAUUCAAUAUUGAUUGUAAGACGUACUUUGAUAGAUCGACAUUCGUGGGUAACCAUGCGCUCAUAAAGACGUAUUCGGUCUCGCACAUUUGGAGCGACAGACCUCCUCUGAAGGGUGUUUGGUUUCUGUUCCGGAUAGAUCUACGAAUGAUAAUGAAUACGUUUUGUCUUUGUAUGGUGACCUUGUCUUCGUACUUACAUUGUGCAGUGUCGCUCGAGGCUGUUGGUUGUUAUGGCAACACAGCGGACGAUUUCCUAAUCCCCAGAUGUGAUUCGGACAAAGUCAUCGCCGUAGAUAACUUGUAUGCUAUUGCCAAGAAAGUGUCUUCCAACUGCCCCCAAGAGUAUACAACCAGUGUAGUGGCGAGCAGGCAGAUGUGUUGCUCAAAGAACCCUGAAGACUGUGUGAUGGACUACAGGGGCAUCAGUGACUACCACACCGUCUGUGCCGGGGCGUCCUAUUGUACCAAGAAGGUAGCAUGGCAGGA